rnacentral:rRNA from 1 species
CGGGUGAGCAAUGCGUGACCAACCUGCCCCAUGCUCCAGAAUAGCUCUUGGAAACGGGUGGUAAUGCUGGAUGCUCCAACUUGACGCAUGUCUUGUUGGGAAAGUGUUUAGUGGCAUGGGAUGGGGUCGCGUCCUAUCAGCUUGUAGGCGGGGUAAUGGCCCACCUAGGCUUCGACGGGUAGCCGGCCUGAGAGGGCGGACGGCCACAUUGGGACUGAGAUACGGCCCAGACUCCUACGGGAGGCAGCAGCC